rnacentral:rRNA from 1 species
CCUACGUGUGGCAGCAGUGAGGAAUAUUGGUCAAUGGACGCAAGUCUGAACCAGCCAAGCCGCGUGCAGGAUGACGGCCCUAUGAGUUGUACACUUCUUUUGUACAAGAGUAAACUCAGACACGCGUACCUUUCUGAAUGUAUCUUACGAAUAAGGAUCGGCUAACUCCGUGCCAGCAGCCGCGGUAAUACGGAGGAUCCAAGCGUUAUCCGGCUUUAUUGGGUUUAAAGGGUGCGUAGGCGGUUGGAUAAGUGAGAGGUGAAAUUUUGAGGCGAAACGUCGGAAUUGACAUGGAUACUGUUGGGUUGGGGAGGAGUGGGGGGAGGGGGAAUGGAUGGGGAAGCGGGGAAAUGCUUAGAGUUAAGAGAGAACACCGAUUGCGAGGGAAGCUUACCAAGCGACUGCUGACGUUGAGGUACGAAGGCGGGGG